rnacentral:tRNA from 1 species
GCCUGGGUGGCUCAGCGGUUGAGCACCUGCCUUCGGCCCAGGGCAUGAUCCUGGGGUCCCAGGAUCAAGUCCUGCCUCAGGCU